UUGGAGGGCAAGUCUGGUGCCAGCAGCCGCGGUAAUUCCAGCUCCAAUAGCGUAUAUUAAAGUUGUUGCAGUUAAAAAGCUCGUAGUUGAACUUCGGGGUUUACCCAUUGGUCAGGCUUAAUUGUCUGUACUGGUGAGAUAAAUCUCUACCUUCUGAGGAACUUUCAUGUCAUUAAUUUGGUGUGAUUGGAAAUCAGGACUGUUACUUUGAAAAAAUUAGAGUGUUUAAAGCAGGCUAACGUCUGAAUACAUUAGCAUGGAAUAAUGAAAUAGGACGGAUUGAUUCUAUUUCGUUGGUUUCUAGGAUCACCGUAAUGAUUAAUAGGGAUAGUUGGGGGCAUUAGUAUUCAAUCGUCAGAGGUGAAAUUCUUGGAUUUAUUGAAGACUAACUACUGCGAAAGCAUUUGCCAAGGAUGUUUUCAUUAAUCAAGAACGAAAGUUAGGGGAUCGAAGACGAUCAGAUACCGUCGUAGUCUUAACCAUAAACUAUGCCGACUAGGGAUCGGACGAAGUUAAUUUUAUAAUGACGCGUUCGGCGCCUUACGGGAAAC
rnacentral:rRNA from 1 species